UUAUACUACAAGUUAUAGAGCUAUAGUCACUCUAGUCUAGGUCUAGUCAAUCUAGACUUUCAUUAAUAUAAUAGAUCUAUUAUAAAUAAUUAUAUGAGCUGUACUUCUUGAUAUCAAUGCAUAUGUCAUGAUAUGUUCUUCAACUCAUGGCAGCAAUGGCAGCAGCCAUGGAAAUUCAAUUGGAAUGGUCGUAACUUAUAAGUUAAAGUCUUAAGCCUAUCACAAGUACAGAUCAUCAUCAGAUGACGAAUCUCUAAAGUUGAAGAUAUCUACUUGGUAGUCUAAACCUCAAAGGAGCUUAGGGAAGUGAUGGCAGUUGCAGGGUAUGAACCAGACGACCAUGCAGAGACCAACGAGGCGACCAAACAGUCCAUCGUGCAUACCACAUAACCAGGUCCAGAAUGCCAGUUUUCUUUAAGGGCAGCUGACAAUAAGAAUUGUCUAUGUAUGCACUACAGAUGCUGUUCAAUAUCUUUUCAUGAGGAAGCCUGCUCAAAAAGAUCGCCACAUUUUCUUUAGGGGAAGUUGACAUUAAUCUUUUAGGUUAAUAAUAACCUAUGCAUGCAGUACAGAUGCUGUUCAUCAUCUUUUCAUAAGCAAGCCUGCUCAAGAAGCUGCUGCAUGGAAGUCAAAAUAUGAAUUAUUGCCACCAGUCUUGAAGUCAGCUUGUAAAGAAUGCUAAGAAUUGAAUGAAAAUGCUGUCUUGAUAUCUUGUUUGUGCUGUUAUAUUUGUCUUUUGUGUUGGUUAAUUAUUCCAUGAAUAAAAAAUAAAAAAGUUAAUUGUGUAAGUUUGAUUUAAGAAUAAAUGAUCAGAGCA